CACCUUUUAGUGGCCUCAAUUUCCCCCUUUCCCAUGCUUACCAAUACUUGCAUUUAGGUAACCAGUGUGAGCCGCAUUUUCUUUAUUGACCAAGGUUUUUAUAUUUUCAAUAAUGUACGCUUUCUCAUUGUCUCAUGAAUAGUGAAAAGGAUCAAGCUGAAAAUUUGAUGAUCGUUGACCUUCUGAGGAAUGACCUGGGGCGGGUUUGUGAGCCGGGCUCUGUUCAUGUGCCUAAUCUUAUGGAAGUUGAAUCCUAUGCUACAGUUCACACAAUGGUGAGUACGAUACGUGGAACAAAGCAACCAGAUAUUAGUGCAAUCGACUGUGUGAAAGCAGCAUUUCCCGGUGGGUCAAUGACAGGUGCACCAAAGCUAAGAUCAAUGGAAAUUCUGGAUUCUCUGGAGAGUUGUUCAAGAGGUAUUUACUCUGGAUGCAUUGGAUAUUUCUCGUAUAACCAAACCUUUGACCUUAAUAUAGUUAUAAGAACUAUUAUCAUGCACGACGGUGAAGCUUCCAUAGGGGCAGGAGGGGCUAUUACAGCACUUUCAAAUGCUAGCGACGAGUAUGAAGAAAUGGUUUUGAAAACAAGAGCUCCCACAGAAGCUGUUAUGGAAUAUGAGAGAAGUACAAUAUCGGAAUAUACCGAGUCAUAGGUAAGCUGUAAUGCAAAGAAAACAUCAGCACGAAAAAAGUAGGAAGUCAUUCUAUACUCCAUUAGAAUAGUUUGUGAAGCCCAUAAAUAUCGUCUUUUCGUUUCCCCAUUUCUUGUGGAAGUACUUUCAGAAAAGAGGGCUCUAUCUUCUAUAUUUUUGCUUAAUUUGUGUUCUUUCCUCCCUCCCCUAUAAUGUCAUUACAGGUGACCUGCCGAAAACUGCAUUGAUGUUGUAAUGGUCUUUUGCAUUAUUUAUCAUUAUACGAAAUGGCUGAAAUUAUGGAAUAUUCGUGUGCAUUUUGAAUUUGUAUUUUAUUCUCUAAUAAUAGCAUAACUUGAAAUUUUGAAAAUGUAUUAAAAAAAAAAAAAAAAAGGGCAAAAAACCAGACAAGCCGUUGCCUCGUGCCCCGUCCCAAACCUGACCCAUUGUCAUCCAUGGAUAUAAUGAUUUACUGAUGUACGUUAAUGUUGAUCAAUGAAUUAAAAUAUUGUUAUUUUACUGAAUUCGAGCUCUAAGUCUGGCCCCUUUGCUUUCUUGACAACCUCGGUUAUAUCAACGGGACAUAAUUUUUUCAUCAUUGGAUAUUUGAAUGAAUCAUAAUUCUAUUGGAGAUUUGGGUUGCAAUUAACAUAUGUUUCUCUAAGCCAUUUUCGCUGGGAGAAAAUUAAGAGAAACAGAUUGUAUUAUCGUUAAUCAGGUCAUUAAAAAUUUUAUCCAAACAUCAGUUAAAUUUAUGUACAAAAUAAUGUGUUUGAUAGUUUAGUAAGGAAUCCCGGAAUUUAAGGAUAAUUAUCAUUUUUAAUAGAUUUCAACCGUAAAAUAUGGAGUGAGAGAAUAUCUUCUUAUUUUUCAAGCUUCUGCCUCAUGGAGACAACCUCAUCUCCACACCAAUAACGGCAUUUAUGAGUCCAUAGUCCACCACCUGCCUUCUGCCAAACGCUUCAAGUGGAUUGAAGGAAUUCCUCAACACUAGAAGCAAUUCAGACAUGAUAUUUUCACUUCUCUAUCAGACUUGUCAAUUGUAUAGACAAUCCGGCAUGUUUGAGAAUGCGAGGAAAGUGUUGGAUGAAAUGCCCGAUAGAAAUUGUGAAUUUAGGGAAAUUUAAUGAGCAGAGGCGGCCUGAGGGUGCACGAGUUGAGCGGCCGCACAGUGCCUCAAAAUUGUAGGGGAACCAAAAAAUUUCUUGUUAUAAUUGUAUAUUUAUUUAUAAUUAAAUAUUUAAACUAUAAAAUUUUUAUUAUUAUGCAUAAGAUAUUAAAAUUAAGAAUAAUGUCACUAAUUAAUUAUAAUAUCCUUGAAUAUAAUAUUCUUAAAUAGUAUUCCUACCUUAAUUUAUGUGAGGGAAAAUGGAAAAGUCGAAAAGAGAUCAGGCUGCCUAAAGAACUGAGAUAAGUAAGAAAAAUUGAACAACCGCCUUUUUCAAUCAUCUUUCUGGAGAAAAGAAUUAAAGAAACCAAUCGUCUUUUCCAAUUAUUUCAAAGAUAAUUGAGACAGAAAAGAGAAAAACCAACCGUCUUUUUGGAGAAAUCGUCUUUUUCUUCAAUAAUAUUUGAUCUGGCUCUAAAAAAUUCUCUCUUUUCCUUAAGCAAAGAUUGACGAUUCAUAUUUUUCAUUACUCUUGCUGAAAAUUUGAAUUGCUUAUUAUCUUUUCGUGAUUAUCUUUUUGUCAAUCUCGCUCCGUGAUUUCACUUGUUUGAAUUCGCUUUGCAAGAACUUGUUAAAAUAUGAAUUUGUUUUGCCUGAACGUGGAAACUGAGGAUUGAGGCAGCACGACAUAAUUUUCCUCUAGAGAAGUUGAACACUUCCUUAACAUAUUUUUUCUUCAAUAAUUUCUCUGAAUAUUCAAAAAAAUAAAAUUCUUUUUUAAUAUUUUUUCAAUGGUUUGAAGAUGGAUUCAUCGUUCAUAAUUUAUAAUUACUAAUUUAAUAAAUGGAAUCAAUUAACUUUGAAGAGAUUUAUUGUUAACUGAUAUCAAUUAUCUGUCAAAAUGGGUUCGCUGUUCAUAAUUUAUAAUUACUAAUUUAAUAAAUGGAAUCAAUUAACUUUGAAGAGAUUUAUUGUUAACUGAUAUCAAUUAUCUGUCAAAAUGGGUUCGCUGUUCAUAAUUUAUAAUUACUAAUUUAAUAAUUUUAUAUAUGUAAAUCCCACAGGUUUGCUUGCUUUCUCAAGCACCUUUUAGUGGCCUCAAUUUCCCCCUUUCCCAUGCUUACCAAUACUUGCAUUUAGGUAACCAGUGUGAGCCGCAUUUUCUUUAUUGACCAAGGUUUUUAUAUUUUCAAUAAUGUACGCUUUCUCAUUGUCUCAUGAAUAGUGAAAAGGAUCAAGCUGAAAAUUUGAUGAUCGUUGACCUUCUGAGGAAUGACCUGGGGCGGGUUUGUGAGCCGGGCUCUGUUCAUGUGCCUAAUCUUAUGGAAGUUGAAUCCUAUGCUACAGUUCACACAAUGGUGAGUACGAUACGUGGA
rnacentral:lncRNA from 1 species